AGUGAACGCUGGCGGUAGGCCUAACACAUGCAAGUCGAACGGCAGCACAGUAAGAGCUUGCUCUUACGGGUGGCGAGUGGCGGACGGGUGAGGAAUACCUCGGAAUCUACUUUUUCGUGGGGGAUAACGUAGGGAAACGUACGCUAAUACCGCAUACGACCUACGGGUGAAAGCAGGGGAUCUUCGGACCUUGCGCGAUUGAAUGAGCCGAUGUCGGAUUAGCUAGUUGGCGGGGUAAAGGCCCACCAAGGCGACGAUCCGUAGCUGGUCUGAGAGGAUGAUCAGCCACACGGGAACUGAGACACGGUCCAGACUCCGACGGGAGGCAGCAGUGGGGAAUAUUGGACAAUGGGCGCAAGCCUGAUCCAGCCAUACCGCGUGGGUGAAGAAGGCCUUCGGGUUGUAAAGCCCUUUUGUUGGGAAAGAAAAGCAGCAGGUUAAUACCCCGCUGUUCUGACGGUACCCAAAGAAUAAGCACCGGCUAACUUCGUG
rnacentral:rRNA from 1 species